rnacentral:rRNA from 1 species
AUUGAACGCUGGCGGAAUGCUUUACACAUGCAAGUCGAACGGCAGCACGGACUUCGGUCUGGUGGCGAGUGGCGAACGGGUGAGUAAUACAUCGGAACGUGCCCAAUCGUGGGGGAUAACGUAGCGAAAGCUACGCUAAUACCGCAUACGAUCUAAGGAUGAAAGCGGGGGAUCGCAAGACCCCGCGCGAUUGGAGCGGCCGAUGGCAGAUUAGGUAGUUGGUAGGGUAAAGGCCUACCAAGCCGACGAUCUGUAGCUGGUCUGCGAGGAUGAUCAGCAACACUGGGACUGAGACACGGCCCAGACUCCUACGGGAGGCAGCAGUGGGGAAUUUUGGACAAUGGACGCAAGUCUGAUCCAGCCAUUCCGCGUGCAGGAUGAAGGCCCUCGGGUUGUAAACUGCUUUUGUACAGAACGAAAAGGCUCUGGUUAAUACCUAGGGCUCAUGACGGUACUGUAAGAAUAAGCACCGGCUAACUACGUGCCAGCCGCCGCCGUAA